AUAGGGCAAGUCUUACACGACCAGCUCCCUUCAAAUCCUCCAGGACGGGAACGUAGCAAAGGUAGAAGGUUGUAGCGGUGCGAUGUGAGUAGCUUGCCCU
rnacentral:SRP_RNA from 1 species